rnacentral:rRNA from 1 species
UACGGAGGAUCCAAGCGUUAUCCGGAAUCAUUGGGUUUAAAGGGUCCGUAGGCGGUUUAAUAAGUCAGUGGUGAAAGCCCAUCGCUCAACGGUGGAACGGCCAUUGAUACUGUUAGACUUGAAUUAUUAGGAAGUAACUAGAAUAUGUAGUGUAGCGGUGAAAUGCUUGGAGAUUACAUGGAAUACCAAUUGCGAAGGCAGGUUACUACUAAUGGAUUGACGCUGAUGGACGAAAGCGUGGGUAGCGAGCAGG